rnacentral:tRNA from 1 species
GCGCCCAUGGCCUAAUGGAUAAGGCAUCUAACUUCUAAUCAGACGAUUGUGGGUUCGAGUCCCACCGGGCGUG